UCUCUGUUAGUAUAUCGGUUAGUACACGCGCCUGUCAUCAUGACGUCCGCUAUUUGUGACGCGCGAAAGCUGGGUUCGACUCCCAGACAGAGAG
rnacentral:tRNA from 2 species